GAGCAUAUGAGAGUCGUAGUAGUUCUGCGAAGAAGCUUGACGCCAUGGCCAUCCAGUUAAACUAUCCAACCAGGAAAUAUCUUGUCAAAUCUCACGUCCAGUCCUCCACUCCUCUCUCCUUUAGUCUCUAUACGCCCACGUCGUCGCCCACCUGGUCAAUAGCUUUCACGUGCGAUUACCCAAUCUCGACCUCGGCGGCUCGGCCUCGAUCGUACCGGUCAGCUUAACCCUCCCGCUCCGCUGUCGUGCGUUCUCCUGUCACCAAACUUCAGCCGGUGCAUGGGGACGUUCCCUGGAGGCCGUGGAUUGUUCGUGGGGGUGUCCCUGCCCAUCGAUCAGUAAUCAGGACGCUGGGAUUUUGUUGGCCGCGGUGGCGUUGGCUCGGCGGGCAGUGGUAGCCGUGGCCGCUGCGUCAAAGUCAAGCGAGAAGGAGAGCAGGGAGAGAAAGAGAGCUUGUUGGUGCUGAAAGCGUUUCGCGUCUGCACUGUUGUCCAGAAUGUCGUGGCUAACGCUCCAAAUCCUGCGUGAGGUCACGAGGAUCUGAAGAUCAUCCUGGUACCUGGAAUCUCAAGUCCCAGGUCAAGAACAGGUACCGCAUGAUGAUGGGCGUGGAGGAUGCUGUGGCGAGUUCGUGAGAGAUCUAGGCCGUCGUCUCCCAGUCAACUUUGGGUUGCUGGACCGUUGUCUCCUUAUAAUGUAAUUAUUUAUUUUGUAUAGAACUCCUGUUAUAUAGUAAAGAUGUGACAUUCGAUCCUGUGCCAUGAUUCAUCAUAUGUGUGAGACUUGGUCCUAGCACACCUGGUGAUUAUGUUCGCGCCCGGGCUUUGGACCCCUAAAAUCCGGGUGUGACACCAACUGAGGAGUUCCUAGAGUUUUGCAACAAAUCACCCGCUAACAAAGUGGUUACCUUUAUGUCAGUUUUUGCGCAUUGCGCUUCUCAACCA